rnacentral:tRNA from 1 species
GGAGGAGUCGCAUAGUGGCCAAUUGCGGGGGAUUGCUAAUCCCCUGAGCUGAAAAGCUCACGCGGGUUCAAAUCCCGCCUCCUCCG